AUGAUGUGGUUAUCGAACGAAACGGAAUGGCUCGCCUCCCGAGUGGACAAGUGGGUGGCUCAGUGUCGCGGGUACUCGAAGCUGCGAUCGUGCAGGAUCUCGCGGGGCUACCAGACGAUGAUGGCGAAGCCGGACCCCUGUAAAAUAUUUUGGUCCCGUGCCGACUGCGCCUUCCUGGAUGACGUCUUGGAGAUCGACACGAGUUGCGCCAUCCCGGAGACCGAUAAUCGCGUGACGUCAUCAAAGCCCCUCGACGAAAGCUCGUAUCCCCGCAGAGCGUCAGCCGAAAGCUCGCACCUGAAACCCCAGCCUUGGAACACCAACGAAAUCUCGCGGCAUUCCCAGUCACUGCGAGAGUUGAAUUACUUGAACGAGCUUGAAAGCAGCAAGUUCUACCCCAGGGUGGCGCUUGCGAAACCGAGACUCCCCGAAAAUAUCUCGCCCUCUGGAAGUCAGUUUCUGGAUCAUUAUAUAAACGUCAACGACGACACAAUCGAGGUAGUUCGAAGUGAUGUUAAUCUCAAUUACGAUAACGAUAGAAGCUAUACAGAUCUAACGCAGAUCAAGAACAAUGCGAAUGUGUCGCGAUCUCCAGCGAGAUAUCGAGAGUGCGAAAUCGAAGGAGGUUCGACGAGAGACUUGAACAGGAAUUAUGAAAUUGAAAGGCAUUACUCUAUACGGAACCGGAGGUGCUCGUCGAAAAAUAUGAACAGGAUAGGUGGAAGACCCGUUAGAAUUAAAAUCUACACGACGAAAAUCUAUAACAGCAGGGAUGACGUGAGGAAUAUUAACAAAAGUUAUUCCGCUCGUAAUGACGGGGAAAAUCAUCGCAAGGCGGAAGAGGAGACUUCGGAUUGGAUGGCCAAAGUUCUUAGGGAGGACUUCGACUAUUCGGCCAUUUUCAAAAAGUGCAAACCGAAGAAGAAUUCUAACUUGAACGAGCUGCAGGGGUUGAGUUUUUCGGAUGCCGGUGUCGACCAUUUAAGGAACUAUCAAGACUCCUCGAAUAACUUGUUGACACCCAUGAGCGAGCUGAGUCUGACGUUUGGCGAAAAUGAUGCGAUGAGCUACCCAGAGGAAACAGCAAGAUUUUAA
rnacentral:lncRNA from 1 species